rnacentral:rRNA from 1 species
CAGCAGCCGCGGUAACACGGAGGGUGCAAGCGUUAAUCGGAAUUACUGGGCGUAAAGCGCACGCAGGCGGUUUGUUAAGUCAGAUGUGAAAUCCCCGAGCUUAACUUGGGAACUGCAUUUGAAACUGGCAAGCUAGAGUCUUGUAGAGGGGGGUAGAAUUCCAGGUGUAGCGGUGAAAUGCGUAGAGAUCUGGAGGAAUACCGGUGGCGAAGGCGGCCCCCUGGACAAAGACUGACGCUCAGGUGCGAAAGCGUGGGGAGCAAACAGGAUUAGAUACCCCUGUAGUCCCUGUCUCUUAUAA